UGCAGUACUACACAUAAAACACAUGCUAAAGAACCACUUUCUCAACAUUGACCCAUAAAGGUGAUCAAGCUCGGGCUAUAAGGUGAUGAAUCCUUCCUGGAUCAGUCUGUUGCCUCUUGGGAGUUUGCUGAUCCUAUCUGUUCAGUUCAACACAGAACACAGCCACAGACAGACAGACACAAUCCCAGUGCAGUAUGGGCACUCUGCCAUGGCUUCCUCUCUCAAGCCAUUGAACAUAUUGCUGCACCCAAUUGUGCCCUUUAUCUCAGGGCCGAAGUGGAAAAAAGAGAGACACACUUGUGGGUUUUUCAACACAUGCUUUUGAAAUUUUGAAAGGACAGACAUUCCCUUUCCUGGCUCUUUAGAUUAUAACUGAUUCCAACAAAUAAGUCGGUGUCACAAACACUGUCGUUCAGAAUGAAUGGCUUUGAAAAGGCAUCAUAUAAAAUCUCAAACGUAUAAUGAAAGCAAUCCAAGAAGUCGCUCUGGAUAAGAGUGUGUGCUAAAUGAUUCAAAUGGAAAUGCAAUCACAAGCAGAAAACAACAUUGGAAUGUGUAAGGUAUUAUGUGUAAAGAGCAGUUGAAUAUAAAGUAUAUUUUUGGACAUAUAAUUGUAUAUUUUUGGCCAUAUAAUAAUCUUAAAAUCUAUUCAUCGAUCUUUGUUAAUAUCUUCAAGCAAAACCAAUUCUGGGAGACAAUUGACCAUUUAUUAGCAUCAUGUCUGUCCUGUCUCUUGCCUGCUCAGCACUUUGAUAAAGAUAAGAUAAAGUCAAGAUAAUUCAUUUAACUGUAAAUUACAGCUUUCAGUCCCGGCGUGGCCGUAAAUGAGGGAUGUUGUGACAGCCAAGCAUGCAGGUUGUCUCUAAGCAUGAUUUUCUUUGGUUUAACGACAAAGAUAUCAUGUAGCGCGACUUUAAACAUGACGUUGACAUGUGGUACUUAUUCAGUCACUUCAGUAACAAGUCAAAUUGCACUAUAUGACAUUGUGUUAUUUCAUAUGAUGUACAUGUAGGUUGCCACUGAUUAUUAGUGAAUUGUUUUCAGAUUUAUGCCAUCUUUGAAGAGUCAAACAUGACAAAGGAGACAAAGAGCCAUUGUGUAUUUACAAAUGAAACUGUUCCUCUAUUGUUGUGCAAUGAGUCAGUUAUGAAGACAGAAGUUGUAUAAAAGACACAUUUUAUUGUAAUUUCAUUCCAAUCUGCAUCUGAAACAAUUAAAAUAGGCAUUUGAUGUGUUUAUUUUGAUGUGUAAUUGGGUAUUGUUCGCUGCUGAAACGUUUCCAUCAAGAAGAGGAGAUUGAGAGGAAGUGGAAUGAACGUUGGUGGUUAAGCUGUUCUAUGUCGGAGGGGAAAAUAAAUGGCCUAACAAAU